rnacentral:rRNA from 1 species
GAUGAACGCUGGCGGCGUGCCUAAUACAUGCAAGUCGAGCGAACAGACGAGGAGCUUGCUCCUCUGACGUUAGCGGCGGACGGGUGAGUAACACGUGGAUAACCUACCUAUAAGACUGGGAUAACUUCGGGAAACCGGAGCUAAUACCGGAUAAUAUAUUGAACCGCAUGGUUCAAUAGUGAAAGACGGUUUUGCUGUCACUUAUAGAUGGAUCCGCGCCGCAUUAGCUAGUUGGUAAGUUAACGGCUUACCAAGGCAACGAUGCGUAGCCGACCUGAGAGGGUGAUCGGCCACACUGGAACUGAGACACGGUCCAGACUCCUACGGGAGGCAGCAGUAGGGAAUCUUCCGCAAUGGGCGAAAGCCUGACGGAGCAACGCCGCGUGGGUGAUGAAGGUCUGCGGAUCGUAAAACGCUGUUAUUAGGGAAGAACAAAUGUGUAAGUAACUAUGCACGUCUUGACGGUACCUAAUCAGAAAGCCACGGCUAACUACGU